UACAGAGGGGGCAAGCGUUAUUCGGAAUUAUUGGGCGUAAAGGGCGCGUAGGCGGCCUUGCAAGUGGCGGGUGAAAUCCCUCGGCUUAACCGAGGAACUGCCUGCCAGACUGCUUGGCUUGAGACCGGGAGAGGUGAGUGGAAUUCCCAGUGUAGCGGUGAAAUGAGUAGAUAUUGGGAGGAACACCAGUGGCGAAGGCGGCUCACUGGACCGGAACUGACGCUGAGGCGCGAAAGUGUGGGGAGCGAACAGG
rnacentral:rRNA from 1 species